UGUCAGACAAUUAAGGCCUGCAUACUUAGAAUUAUCAUUUCCAAGCAGACUUAGUACCCAGCUAAGAUAUGAAAGGAGAUCUAGUGACCUGAUCAAUAGCAGAAGGGNNNNNUGAAAUCAAAAUGGACAUGGCCUGUACAUGGUUCAUGCUCACAUUAAACUGAUCCUGUAGCAUCCUGGCCCUCUCAUCACACAUGCUUGCAAGGGUAUCUUUCCUCUUC
rnacentral:misc_RNA from 1 species